AACAAAUGACGAAUGUUUUGGUCCCAAAUGAUGGUCAGUGAUUACCUCCUUGAGAUCGUUCCGAUGUU